UGCACCAACAGGCCUUUCUGACGAGCAUCCACCCACCCACACAGAUACACGAACGCUUAGCGGCCCUUUUGCGGGACAUGCGGUGCGUGACGCUCCGGCUGUCGUCGCAGGCGGCGGGUCGCCGCAGCUUCACACCGUACCAAGUGGUUUUGAAGGCUGUGGAGCACGACGGGCGCGGUCUCCUCGCCGCGGCGGAGGUGUUCAAACAAUUUCAGCGCUUCUACCGAUCAUAUCAGCAGGAGGAGGCGCAGCGCACACAGGCGCCUUCCACGUCCGCAGAGUCGUCGAGCACAACCGGUGGUGAUAAUGCGACUGCUGAGCCACGCUUCAUACCGGGAAAGCCGCUUACACAGUUUUGCGGUCGGCUGGAGGACGUGGAGCCGAUGACGGUGUUGCUGCUCAAAGUGCUCUGCGAUCUCCAAAAGCUGGAGGAGAUGCGGUUCCUCUUCACGCAGUGUUUACUGGAGAUGGAGGACCGCGCCCCGUCCGUGGAGCUAUUCAAUGUGUUUCUUCUUGCCAUUAGCAUGACCGACACAUUUAACCAGUACGAGGUGGAGAACCUUGUGGAGCUGCAGCGUUCAAAAGGUAUCGUGCCGGAUGUAGUGACCAAGCUGUCCAUGUUUCUCCUGUACCUGCGUCUCGGCCACCAAAACUGUGUGGCAUGGUGGCCCGGGAUUCGCGAGGAAGUCGAGAUCAUUAUCGAUACCGACGCCGUUGCCCGCUACCCACUUCUUCCGCUGCGCCUUCAACACUGCUUCCAAACGUUGCUACGGGUGCACUACGAUACCGCUGUCAUUCAUGAGAGCUUUGAGCUGUUGCAUCGUGCUGCGCCGGAGCGUGUGACACCGUCGAUUGUGCUGCCGUACCUCCUCCUUAGUGCAAUGAACAUGUCGACCCCGCCAUCCGCGGUGGUGAAGGUGUUAAAGCUCAUGCAAACACGAGAACGUCAUUCAUCGUCGUCGCCCGCGAAAGCCGCCAGUGAGCAGGCCGCCGACACCUCCUCGCCUUCCUCCCCCACGGCGACAACGGCAGCCACGCAGGAACCGGUGCUGAGCAGCGAGAUUACAGUGUUCCGUCUGCUGGCCAAGUGCGCCAAAUACGGCGAUGCUGACGCCGCCGCCUACAUGCGAUCCUACAUCGACACACACCGCCAGUUUGGACUUGUGGCGAAGGAGAACGAGCCCGUGGCGGCUCUGCUGUACGUGGAGGCGCUCACGAAAGCGGGGCGGAUACGCUCCGCGUUGCGGGUGCUUGAAAGGGAAGUGCCGGCACCAUACAACCGCCCCGGGGAGCGACCGAAGCUUUUUCUGCAGUCGCGUCGCCUGUCGCUUUUGUCAACGGACCCUGUGCGCAACGUGGUCGCCGCCCUCACCCCACUUGUUGCGGCAGCACAUCUCAAGGAUCCUGCUGUGCCGCUUGUCUCGGAGAAGACGUCGGCCACGGACGCAGAGGAGCGCGAACCAGUGCCAGUUACCUCCGUCACACUCGACCUGCUGCUGGCCGCCUGCCAAUUCGCGGGCAGCGCGAAGCGCGCAGAGGAGGUGCUUAGCCUCUACCCGCGCUAUGAGACCGCACCCACCAGCACCACUUACGCGCUUCUACUAGAGGUGUACGCGGCAACCGCGCCGGUGGACGGCGCUCUGCGGCUGCCGUCGCUGCAGCGCGAGAUGGAGGAUGCCGGGAUUGCAGUGAAUGCUGCCUGGCUGCACGCGGCCAUGGCUGUCGCACUCGACGCUCGGGACAUCGGUGCUGCUCUCCGUGUCGCGGAGCUAAGCGUGGCGCAUAAGUCGAGUGUCGAUGUAAAGCACGGAGCACGCCUCCUGCGAGAGCUGGCCGUGGCCGCUGACGCUGCUGCGAUGCGGCGGGCUCUGCACCUGCUGCGUUCAAGUAACUCGACUGUGGACUCGCGAAGUGUGGCGCUUUGCACGGCCGUGCUGCGUAGUUUGGGUGUCCCCGCCGCCGCGCUGAAGGUGGACGCCCCUGCGCACAAAUCGUGAGUCGCUUACUGGCUGCAGUGACGCCCAUUAUCCCAGUCGAAAGUGUGUGCGCGUGUGCUAUGUUUUCGAAGCGCUCGUGCUGGGUCUGGACUCACUGCCAGAUCUUUUUUCUUGCCCUCUCCCUUCCCCCACCCCUCUUCUUUCCUUCCCUCGUUCUCCUCUUUGCCGAUCUCGCAGACGGGUUUUCGCCCUGGCGGGAGCACUGAGGGUUUCGUGGGUGGGCGCACGAAGAGGAAGGCCGCACUCGAGUGCCGUUUGCCGGCAUUAGCAAAGCGCUGAGACGGAGGGAGAUGAGUCAAGUCAUCGCCGCUGCCGACACUAACACGCUGAGAGAUGCGCAUACGGCACCCUUCAGGUGCUCGUGCGUGUGUUCCCACCUUCUCGUGCACAAGAUGGCCAUCCCUUCACGUGUUUUGGCGCAUUGUAUGCACACCGCGAAUGCCCUCCGUCUAUUCACUCGGACGACAUGUUUACGGAGUUGCCGCAUCUCGGCGGACAACGUUGCGUGGGACACCCUUUCUUUUAUUAACAGAAUCGUAUUUUCCCCUUUCCCCCUUCGCCCAGGCUCUUCUUGGGCUAGCACGCG
rnacentral:misc_RNA from 1 species